rnacentral:rRNA from 1 species
UACGGGGGGGGCAAGCGUUGUUCGGAAUUACUGGGCGUAAAGGGCUCGUAGGCGGCCAACUAAGUCGGAUGUGAAAUCCCCAGGCUUAACCUGGGAAUUGCAUCCGAUACUGGAUGGCUUGAAUCCGGGAGAGGGAUGCGGAAUUCCAGGUGUAGCGGUGAAAUGCGUAGAUAUCUGGAGGAAUACCGGUGGCGAAGGCGGCAUCCUGGACCGGCAUUGACGCUGAGGAGCGAAAGCGUGGGGAGCAAACAGG